CAAAAAAUAGUUUAAGUAAAACAUUAAUCUUGGAGAUUAAAAAUAUAUUUAAUUAAUAUUUUUUUGA
rnacentral:tRNA from 1 species